AGAAAGACGUUAACAGAAAGACGUUAACGAAAAGUACGGUAACACGGAGAAACGGUGCAGUAACACGACAUAUAAAUAAGUAAUAAGGAUGAAACGGGGGAGUAUAACGGAGUUUAGCUCCAGUCGAGAGGGAAACAAGGUAACUGCAUCUGUGUGUGUCUAAUUGUCAAAUAAUUUGGAGUUUGUUAAGUUAAGGAUGGCAGCUUCAUCCUGCGUUGCACUCUGAGAGAUAUGCAGAGACGGUGAACUGUUUAGCUCUUAGGCAUGGAUUAUUGUACCCUUCGCUCAGCCGAGCUAACUUGGAAUACAACACAGAUCAGGACAAGUGUAUGAAGUGAACACACCCUCAUUUGCAUAUGAUGCAAACCUACACAUUUACACUUUAGUGCCCCACAGUGGUACAACAAUAACACUGCAUCCUCCUGUCAACUUAAGCACAGAAUAGACACAAUCUAUAUACAUAAAUCUCAAUUGAGGACAUAAACAUCCAGCUUAACAGAGUUUAUUUUUGUAUUUGUUAACUUUUCAGUGCUAACAGCGUUUAGCUUAAUGUGUCUAAUGUGUAUCAUUUUGUCUCCUGUUUAAUUUCUAGUUAGCUCUUACGGUUGGUCAAUGCAGUAAUAUUGGAAACGGAAUAAACUACAUUAAACCAUCAGUCCAGGCUUGUAUUAAUUCGAUUGGGAUGCUAAAAUAAUUCACUGUUUCAGGACGGAGCAUAUAUGUCCAAUUCCGGUAGUAUUACCGGAUGUUGUUUUUAGCCUCAGUUAGCAUAAAGCUAAUAUUGUAUUGUAUAUAUGAGUAGAGGGAGAAGGACGCGUGGAGUUACAUACUAAACACACCGCCUCUACCUCUCACUCAUUGAUGCUGCAAUGAUACUAUUGCGUGUUUAAUAACCGGAUAAACUUCGGAAGGAUUGCAUAAUAGAAUAUCGUAGGUGAGAGCUUCAGGACAUCACUAGCAAGACGGCGACGGUGACGUCAUAAGAGGACUAGAAGAGCCCGGAGAACCCCAUGUGACAAGCGGCCAACAAGAUCCAGCCCCCCGCUACCAACCAAGGAGAGCACGAGACCGGAGCUCGUCUUAUUUUGAAGUUGUUGUAUUUUAUGGCCGGAAAAGGGAUGGUUCUAUAAAACAUGUUUGUAUUUUGAGAUCGCUCUCUUUUGCUCCGGACAGUAACUAGGCUACUGAUGAGCUCCACUCAGUCAGCAGCCUGUGGACGCGUGUACCGUACUAUUGACCCACAGCUGUGCAACUUUUGUAAAACCUACUGCUGCAUCCAUUUAUUAAACACUCCUUUUAAAACUUAUAACAGGAGCUUCACUUCGUUUCUUUUAAAUCGACUCCUGGGCUUCGAACAAAUGAACAUUUCCUACACUGUCACUGCAGAAAACCCCGUUUCACACAAAUAUGAUGUCGGAAACGGCAACAGGGUUUUCAGUGCUGUUGUGGCGAUCUCAGGGUAUUCUGCCAUGACUUUAAUCCAGAACACCGGCAGAGUUGUUGUCUCAAACAGACUUUUAAGGCCGCCGUCAUUUGCGAUCUCCAGCAGCUGAUCUUCUUCUCGUACAGACAUGCUGGAUUCCCCUGGUUUGUUCAUAAAUGGGGCGCAGAUUAAUUCCUUGGCAGUUCGUGGGUCUUUUGUGGUUGGGAAGUAGAGCUCGAACUCGUUUAAAAGCAAAGAUAGGUGAUCGUGCAUCAGCUGGGAGAAUGACGGCUCAGGCUCUGUCUCACCGAAAAUCCCCAAAUCCAGUUUGGCUUUAAAUGCAGCUACGUUAUCUGCCAAUUUGAAGACAAUUGUCAUUUCCCCCUGAAGUGAUAGAUUAAGUUCAUUGAGCAGGUUGAAUAUGUCGCAUAAGUAAGCCAGUUUUCCGACCCAUUCCUCGUCACUGAAAUGUGCUGCCAGCGUUGAGUUUUUUCUGAGAGAAAUCUCUGUAGCGGCUCCCGCAAUUCAAACACUGUCCAGCGAUUUCCCUCGAGAUAACCAUCUUAUUUGUGUGUAUAAGAGCCGCACAUUAUACAGAGCGGGCUUAGUGCGUGGGAAUCAAUUGUUGCGAUGAAUCCAUAUUUUAAGUAGGACUCCUGGUAUUGUCUAUUAAAUGCAGCUUUAUUUUUCUUGGAAGUCGUAGGCACUUCUCUCGUCUCCUUACUGGGCCUUUUCCCCUUCGCAAAGACACUUUUCAAAUACGACUGUUUUUUUUACUCAUUUUGCUAGCUUGUGGGUUACAUUUUAGGAUGAGAGUCCGGUAAUUUUUCAAAAUAAAAGAUGGCUCAGACAAUAAAUAAAACGGAAAUAAUGCAAGUUAUUUAUUCUUGCUGUGCGGCCUGGCCUGGGAGUUGGGGACCUCUGAUCUACAGAGUUGAAAUGGUUGUACAAAGUUGACAUCCCUUUAAGUGUGGCUUGAGUGGUAAGAAUCAUAGUUCACUUUCUGAAAUACAUCUGUAUGAAACAUGCUUUUGCCUGUUCUCAGUUGGGUCUACCUUAAAGCCAAUGACUGGAACUUUAAUAAAACUAAGUGAAAAUUCAGUAAGAGUAAAACCUGCUUGCAAAUGUCAAAGCUACACAAACUAAAAUAAAACAAUUACAAGGAAAUGGUGAUAACAGUUCUGAUUCUCUUUAUUUAGGUAACAGCUGUGUUUUACCGAAACAAUAAAAGAUGGCGUCAUCCUGGAAGAUACUCUGAUAGAUUCCUCAAUUGUUUGACGGUCUGCAGAGAGAAAUAAAUAAGAUUGUCAGCAAGAAGGAAAACAAACACACUUAAUUGACAAAACUGAAGUUACUCACUUGGCCCAUUCAACAUUGAGAAUAAGAUGAUCGUAUCCAAAUCCUGACACUCCUGCGAUGGCUCUGGCUGCAUCCUCCCGACGGUGGAAACUGAUGAAGGCGAAUCCCUGCGGAGAACAAAGAGGGUGGUUGAUGGAUGGUACAACUUUAACCUGCUGCGUUUCUGCCCAUUAUCAUUUCUAUUGAGUAACUGUAUCAUGUGUUUGUGUUGUUGAGGGUCAGCACUGACCUUGGACUGCCCAGUAUUCUUGUCCUUGGCCAGAUAGAUCCUAGAGAUGGAGCCAAAUGGUCUGAAGAGCUCCUGCAAGUCCGUCUCGCGGGUGUCCUCAGACAGAUUGGUCACACGAAUAGUGGCAUUGUCAUCAGCUAUUGGGGGCAGAGAUACAGCAUCAAUAUCGAGCAACGGUUUGUUGGUGAAUAAUGUUUAUGUAAGGAAUGGGUAUAUAGAGAGUUUGUUUUAACUUACAGCCUCCCCUCCGGUUGGGCUGCAUGGACUCUCCUCGCCGCGUGCUUCCAUCCCUCAGGCUCGGGGGGACAUACUUCCCAGUCUUGCUCUGCGCAGGCUGUGCCGGCUCUGGCUCUGUUGUUCACAAGCAAACAAUGGAAAAACAGGCCAUAUUAGUCAUGACUUUAGAAAGGUCCAAAACACAAGUGGAUCAUGAAUGACAGAUCUAAAUUUGAAUAGGAUGUGUUGGUACCAGAGCCAGCAGGCUUGUCCUUGUCUGCUGUGGAAAGCCCAAGCUGCUCAGCCAGCUCCUUCUGCAUGGGGCCCAGGGUGUCCUUGUAUGGACAGCGGGUGGUCCAAUGGUCGCCUUUGCAAAUACGGCAAGACACAAUCUUCUGUCCUUUCAGUUUGUUCAUGGGAUCCUCCUCCUGGUCUUGGGCAUUUAAGUCCUACAAGAAGUAAGAUGAGAAACUCAGUAACAAGCGUAACCAAGAAAAUAACAAAUCCAUACCACAUUCAUGCAUCUCAGCAUGUUUUAUGUGGACCUUAACUCAUCACUAAGCAGCGACAGGACAUCCUGAGGUCCCAAAGGCUACUCACCUCUUUGCUGGAGAUGAAUGUCAUGAAGACAUCGUCACUGACUGUGGUGGUGGCAACAUUGGGACCUGCUGCAUCAAACUCAGAGUUGCCAAAUUUCUUCCAGUUCUGAAAUAAGAAAACAAUAUCAAAUAUGGACCCUGACCUAACCCAAAAUCGUACUAAUUUCAAAGUGAGUGCAAAUAGAAUUAACUUAGAAGCAAACCUUUCUCCUGGCAACAGCUUUUGAGGCUUUCCUUGUCUCGAUCUUGAAGGUCCGCACAAUCUUGGCGACAAAAAGGCAGGAAAUGCACAAUCCAUUUAAUAUGUCACACAAGCAAAUUGUUUGUAUUCCUGUAAUCAAACUACUGGUGUACAGCUGAAUCUCUUAUAGUGAUCACUCUCAUGGUGAUGACUGAUCCAGCUCAAAGUGAUCACAAUAAGCAGUCGACAAAUGUGUUUUUGUUUCUUUAUAGUAAAGCAUAUUCAACAGCAUCUUCAUGAUUACAGAGGUCUCAUAGCACAGGUAAAAUGACGCUAAAAACAAUCAUCAUUUCGAAGCCUUUCAGGUUUUCCACAGCUGCUGUCUGCAUGAAAUACAGGCUUACCUAAACCAGCAUUAUAAACAAUCAUGACAGAUGCAAGAACAUAUACCUUAGUGAAGCUCAACUUACCUUAAACUUCUUUCCAUCAUCAUCUAUUUUAUAUUCUGUGAUGGUCUUAAUAUUUCCUUUGAUGGUUUCCUUAGGAGGGGGUAGUGUGCCUGACAAAAUAAUGUACCGUGAAGUUAGACAAGACAGAGGGGAAAGUAAACGAUGCACUGUAAGUCACAUCUCAUCUCUUCAUCACAUCGCCAGGUCUGAACUAAUCUAGGACAUAACACUACAGACUUGCUUUGCCUAAAUGGAAAAUGUGUACGCUUAUGAAGACUCGUUUCAGUUUGUAUGUUUAUUUCGUAGAUAACCGAAUCUUAUGUAUACGUCUAAGGCCUGGGACGUAGCUAUCUUGCUCACUUUUAGCUAUCGUGCCGUUACCAGUGUAUGGCACUGCCUACGUCACUGUCGACAGCAUAUGUCAACUAGCUACACAUUUGAUCAAUACAAUCAUUAGUGUAUGUCAGAGACGCAAAUGUAACAUCCAAGCCGUUCGAACAUAAUAUAUCCGAAAAACACAGGUAUGUUUAUUUUUCUAUAGUAUUACAGCCAGCAACCACGUGGAAGUGGAAGCAGCCUAGUCGGCCUCCUCCUCCGGCUCCGGACUACUAGAGAUGAGCUAGUUUUAGCAUACUACGCUAACUAAUGUUAGCUUUCUUACCUUCAUCUACUUCCUCCUCCACUUGGUCUGCCCAGCUGGGCUUGGAACUGGAAAGUACAGAUUGACAAGCAGCAUUAGAUUAAUCGAUAAAGACCUCUCGCACAAGCAGAGAUAAAGAAAUCUUUGUAAUAACACUCACUCGUCGUAUUCCAUCGACGGCAUCCUCUCGGCUAGCUUAGCUUCAGGACCGUAAAGAGCGGUGGAGUGCUAGCCGAGGAACCUAGUCGAGCCGCCAAUGAAAAUACUUCCGGUUAUCUUCACAAUAAAAUGACCGAUUUUGUUUAAUUGAAGCUUCACAAUAAGAGUCCUGUUAUAGGACUGACUCACUGAAAAUAAAGUGUAUUCACCAGACAA